rnacentral:hammerhead_ribozyme from 1 species
AUCCAGAUGAUGACUCCCAAAUAGGACGAAACGCGCUUCAAACUGGAU